rnacentral:rRNA from 1 species
GGCUACCGCUAUUGGAGUUCGAUUAAGCCAUGCGAGUCGAGAGUCCUCGGGACUCGGCGUACCGCUCAGUAACACGUGGGUAACCUGCCCUAUGCUGGGGAAUAACCUCGGGAAACUGAGAAUAAUGCCCCAUAGCCCACUACGCCUGGAACGGUGAGUGGGUCAAAGCCCCGGCGGCAUAGGAUGGGCCUGCGCCGUAUCAGGUUGUAGGGGGUGUAAAGUACCCUCUAGCCAUCAACGCGUACGGGUGUUGGGAGACAUUGCCCGGAGAUGGAUUCUGAGACACGAAUCCAGACCCUACGGGGUGCAGCAGGCGCGAAAACUUGGCAAUGCGAGCAAUCGUGACCAGGGAACUCCAAGUGCGUAGGGUAAGACCUACGCUUUUCUUGACUCUUCAAAGGUCUUGGAAUAAGGGGUGGGUAAGGACGGUGCCAGCCGCCGCGGUAAUACCGGCGCCUCAAGUGGUAGUCGCUUUUAUUGGGCCUAAAACGUCCGUAGCCGGUCUGGUGCAUUCGUGGGUAAAUCAACCCGCUCAACGGGUUGAAUUCUGCGAGCACGGCCAGACUUGGGACCGGGAGAGGUGUGGGGUACUCUCAGGGUAGGGGUAAAAUCCUGUCAUCCUGAGAGGACCACCUGUUGCGAAGGCGCCACACUAGAACGGAUCCGACGGUCAGGGACGAAACCUAGGGGCACGAACCGGAUUAGAUACCCGGGUAGUCCUAGGUGUAAACGCUGUGGACUUGAUGUUGGGGGCGCUCCGAGCGCUCUCAGUGUCGAAGCGAAGGUGAUAAGUCCACUGCCUGGGGAGUACGGUCGCAAGGCUGAAACUUAAAGGAAUUGGCGGGGGAGCACUGCAACCUGAGGAUUGUGCGGUUU